GUGUUCCCUUCAGCAGCUCAUAUACUGAAAUUAAGAUAUAGAGAAGAUUAGCAUGGCCCGUGCACAAGGAUGACAUGAAAAUUCAUAAAGUGUUUUAUAUUUAA